AUGACUUUGACCUGCGUCCUCAUCUGGACUCUCCUCUGCUGCUGCUUCACAGAGUCCAGAGGUCAGGUCACAGUGACUCAGCCUGCAGAAGUGAGAGCUAAUCUGGGAGGAUCUGUCAGCAUCAGCUGUAGGACCAGUCAGAAUGUUCAUUACAGCAGCACGUUUGGCAACUACCUUUUUUCAUGGUUUCAACAGGAAGCAGAAAAAACCCCUAAAUUGCUCUUUUACGGUACCUCCACCGGAGUAUCAGGUACUCCAAGUCGUUUUUCAGGUGGUGGAUCAAACUCUGCCUUUACUUUGACCAUCAGUGGAGUUCAGGCUGAAGAUGCUGCAGUUUAUUACUGCAAGAGUCAGCAUCAUAUCAACAACAAGGUUGUAUUCACACAGUGA